rnacentral:rRNA from 1 species
AACGAUGUCGAUUGGAGGUGUUCCCUUGAGGAGUGGCUUCCGGAGCUAAUGCGUUAAAUCGACCGCCUGGGGAGUACGGCCGCAAGGUUAAAACUCAAAUGAAUUGACGGGGGCCCGCACAAGCGGUGGAGCAUGUGGUUUAAUUCGAUGCAACGCGAAGAACCUUACCUACUCUUGACAUCCAGAGAAUUUAGCAGAGAUGCUUUAGUGCCUUCGGGAACUCUGAGACAGGUGCUGCAUGGCUGUCGUCAGCUCGUGUUGUGAAAUGUUGGGUUAAGUCCCGCAACGAGCGCAACCCUUAUCCUUUGUUGCCAGCACAUUAUGGUGGGAACUCAAAGGAGACUGCCGGUGAUAAACCGGAGGAAGGUGGGGAUGACGUCAAGUCAUCAUGGCCCUUACGAGUAGGGCUACACACGUGCUACAAUGGCGUAUACAAAGAGAAGCGACCUCGCGAGAGCAAGCGGAACUCAUAAAGUACGUCGUAGUCCGGAUUGGAGUCUGCAACUCGACUCCAUGAAGUCGGAAUCGCUAGUAAUCGUAGAUCAGAAUGCUACGGUGAAUACGUUCCCGGGCCUUGUACACACCGCCCGUCACACCAUGGGAGUGGGUUGCAAAAGAAGUAGGUAGCUUAACCUUCGGGAGGGCGCUUACCACUUUGUGAUUCAUGACUGGGGUGAAGUCGUAACAAGGUAACCA